GUCACACUCAUGGCAUAUGGAAAUUCCCGGGCCAUACCGGGCCACAGGAAACUUGAAUUGAAUCCAAGCCACAUCUGUGACCUAUGCCACAGCUGUGACAGGGCUAAAUCCUUUAAUCCACUCCACCAGGUCAAGGAUUGGACCCACGCUUCCUCAGUGACCCAAGCCACUGCAGUCAAAUUCUUAACCUACUGCAUCCACAGAAGGAACUCCAGGACAUGAGAUUGUCAUGUAAACUUUUUGUGUGUGAAUUCUUCACAUCUUGUGAGAAGGAAUCAAAUGUCAAAAUUUCAUAAGAAAAAUCUUUAAAAAGCCUACAACAUUCCAGAUAAGUAUAUUUGAUCUAGACGUAAUAAAGAAUAUAAAAAAGAAGAAAUACAAGAAAAAAGUUUCAGAAAACAACGAGUUUUUCUUACCACCAUGUCAGACAUUUUGGAUCCCAAGUCAAGAUUACAAAAAGGAAGCCAAGAAGCACAUGCCUAAAUACUUAAAAGUUAACAAACUCUCUUGAUCAUAUAGUUUCAUAAAAAUAUAAUUGAAAAGUUAGUGUUAAGUCCAUGAUUUCUAAAAAUUAAAAAUCACAGCAAUGUUAAAGACAAUUUAAGAACUUUCUUCAUGUAAUGACUGUUUAAUAAAUGGUUUUCCCCAUAAACUCUUUUGAAAUGUCUCAUUAAUUUUAUUUUAUUUUAUUUUUAUUUUAAAAUCUGGUUGGCUGAUUUUACUGCUUAUUAUAAAGCUCUGGCAAAACAAUUUUUUUUUCUCUUCAUUAGUAAGACAUCCAAAUUAAGACUAUACCCUCUGGCUGCAAGGUUUACAUCAGUGAUUAAAACCACAGAAGUUGAUGCAUGGGGCUUUGGCAAUAAUAUAAUCAAAUUCAUUCAUACUAUUCAAUCUUUCACUGAUAUAGAUUUUUGCAGUGAAUAUACCAAACAGAGAAUCACAUAAAACAACUAUCAGUACAGAGAAACUAGGGAAUCUUGCUAUUAUUUAAAUAGUGAAGUGAUACUCAUUAAAUUUUUGAAAACUAAUUAUUUUUCUGGUAUAAUGUUGUUUCCAGCCUCAGUCUCACUAAAUAAAUAGGAUAUAAGUAAUAUUGCAAUAUUAUAGAGUAAUGUGACAUGAUGUGGUUCACAUGAGAAAAAAGAAAUUCAUUAUUAUUUUGGAUAGAUAGUUUGGUAUAAAAGUAUACCUAAACAAGGUAAAAUAAGCAAUAACCUUUAGGGGAAAAUAAAGGUUAAACACUGAAGUACUUCAAAACAUGGUGGAGGGGUGUGUAGCUCAGAGAACAAGCUGUUUCACAGAGGAGGAUCCCUUUUAAUCCCUGUUUCAUGUACAUAAGCAAAGAAGAUCAUAUUGGAUUCAUUCAAAUCUGGCAUGCAAUGCAGAUUUUGUCUUUAUAAAAUGCUCUAUCUAGAAGCUGUUGUAAAUAAAUUGAUGAGCAUGACUUUGUCUGAAACUGUAAAAUCUAAAUAGCACUUCAGGCUGAAGCUAACAUACACUUUUUUUGGGGGGGGGGCCGCACCUGUGGCAUGUGAAAAUUCCCAGGCUAGGGUAGAAAGUGAGCUGCAGCUACUGGCCUUCACCACAGCCACAGAAACACCAGAUCCAAGCCAUUGCUGCAACCUACACCACAGCUCACAGCAACACCAGGUCCUCAACCCACUGAGCAGGGCCAGGGAUCAAACCUGAGUCCUCAUGGAUACUAGUUGGGUUAGUUACCACUGAGUCAUAAUGGGAACUCUAAUAUAUACAUUAUUAAACAAAGAUGUUUAGGAGUUCUUGUCAUGGCUCAGUGGUUAAUGAAUCCGACUAGGAACCAUGAGGUUGUGGGUUCGAUCCCCAGCCUUACUCAGUGGGUUAAGGAUCUGGCGUUGAGGUGAGCUGUGGUGUGGGUUGCAGACGUGGCUUGGAUUCCUCAUUGCUGUGGCUCUGGCAUAGGCCCCCUAGCCUGGGAAUCUCCAUGUGCCGAUACAAAAUUGUUUGCAGAAUAUUAUUUAAAACAUAGUUAUAGAGAAAUCUCAUUGAUGGGUUAUUCUGAUGUUUCCAAAAUUUUUCUUUAUCAUUUGCUAUAUUAAACUAGUGCAAAAAUGCUUUAAUGCAUUGAACAUGUAAAAACCCUUUAGCAAGCUACAGAAAUAUUGAUUUAUGUUGACACAAAGCCAUUAAUUAAAACUCUAUUUUUGUAUGAACAAUCUACUAGCUUUAACUCUACCUAAUAGUAUUAAGAACCAGCUCACUAUUUAAUCCCAAAUAAAAUCUCAUGGGAAGUUUUGUCAACAGUUUUUCUGUAAUCAAGAUAUUCUAUACCUACUUCAGGAUAUUCAUGUGUGGACCAUGAAUUACACAAAUAAAAUUAGCACAGGUUAAGCAUAAUUCUGUUGAUUUAUUUAGAAGGUUAGAAAAAUGCAUUGUGCACUUGGCUUAUUUCAAAACCCUAAUUCAACACAUAUUUUUGAGAACAGAUAUUUUGAAUCCAUUUCCAGAUGUUGUAUUCCAGAGAUAAGAAGAUGUGGUCCCUACCAGGAGUUCAUGGGUUUGGAGAGAAAAGAGGUCUAAAUAUACAUUUAUAAUAGUGUAUAUUUGCAUCUGCAUGUAGUGUACAUUUUAGUUGAAAUACAGAAGAUAUAUAUAUAAUAUACAGAUAUACACAUUUUAUGACAUGUAUAUAUGUCUAUGUUUAUAUACAUUCUGUACAUAUUUCUUUUUUAGAUAAAGAAGAAAUUCAAUGAAAAUAUAUAUUUGUAUUUGCCAGGACUUACCAAGAAAUUUAAUACAUAGAUAGUGUACUUUUUAAAAGGGUGCCUGAAGUUUGUGAAAUAAAGUUGAAAUGUGAGUCUUCUCUGAUUUUGAUAAAUCUGCCUCUGCUCUCCUGGUUAGACCCAUGGUGGGGGAAGUGAAUUUAGUGAUGUUGCCUCAAAUCCCCAACAGUGACUACAAGAUUGGAUUUGAGCCUCAGUGCUAAUAUUUAUGAGUCCCGUGGCAGGAAACAUUUUAGUUCGCUUGGCUGAGGCUUACUUUUCUCAUCUGCAUGCUAAAGAUUUAUUUCAAGGAAUAAAUGAGAUAACUAAAUGAGAUUAAAUACAUUGACUGGCAAACCAUCUGACACAUUUUAGCAUAGGAAAGUAUUCAAUCCUAAACAUAUGUGUGUAUACACAUAUGUAUAAAAAAAGCAUGGUGCAGAAAGUUAAGUA
rnacentral:lncRNA from 1 species